rnacentral:ncRNA from 1 species
UACCCGGCAAUGAACGGAUCACAGUAGUGUCUUACCUCCCUGUCCAGAGAGCUGAUGGUGGUGCAAAUCAGUCAAAGGUAAGCAUGAAUUACAAUCCCGGAGCUUCUUUUUCGUAGUAAAGCCCCAUGCUUUAUGAAGGGAAAGACGGUCAAUCGAUCGUUAACAAAUCAAAGUGGUGAACAGUUUUGUUCGCAAUGAGGGUGGUACCGCGAGUCUUUCGUCCCUGUC